rnacentral:misc_RNA from 1 species
ACUUCUUUUUUUUUUUUGGCUUUAACUUGAAUAAGACAGCAGUCACAACAAGCCUUUUAAACAAGAACUUCUGGGUUCUGAAACGUAUAUAGGAAUCUGCCACGGAUUAGAUACGUCUGAAUAAGCCAUAACAAAAUCACCCUUCUUCUUUCUUUAUAUUUUUUGGUCCCUCAGAUGAACAUUGAGCUUCAUGUGGAAUUAGCAAACAAUUUCCAAAUGAAAUCAACUAAGAAAGCCCCGUGCACUUUCUUGCAGUGUUCAUAAAAGAAACAAAAAUUCUAGAACAUCAGACAUUUGAGAUGAUGAAACAUUGAACUAAUAGACCACUAAGCCUAGGCCUCCAAAAGCCAUCAACCUAAAAUUAGUCCCUUCUCAUUAUGUAAAUGCAACAGAAAUACCCCAAAAAAAAAAAAAA